rnacentral:rRNA from 1 species
UACAGAGGUCCCAAGCGUUGUUCGGAUUCACUGGGCGUAAAGGGUGCGUAGGCGGUCGGGUAAGUCUGACGUGAAAUCUUCAAGCUUAACUUGGAAACUGCGUCGGAUACUAUUCGGCUCGAGGAAUGGAGGGGAGACUGGAAUACUUGGUGUAGCAGUGAAAUGCGUAGAUAUCAAGUGGAACACCAGUGGCGAAGGCGAGUCUCUGGACAUUCCUGACGCUGAGGCACGAAGCCAGGGAGCAAACGGG